AUGUUCCCGGCGGCUGCGGCCGGGGUAGCGCGUACCGGAGACGCGGCGUGCGGAGCCCUCAGCUGCCCGGCGGAGCGCGGCAGCGGACGGGCGGCGAGUUGCAGGCUCUCCGCUGCCCCGGGCGCUCCGACCGCGAGUCCCGGGCUUUGUCUCCCGGGCCGCCUUCGUGUUGACGGUCAGGGGGCUCCGGGUCGGCGAAGGGCGCGGGCUGGGCGCCGCCGGGCCCCGGCCCGGACGCGACGCUCGGAAGGGAAGGGGCGGACAAAAAAAGACCAAAUGGCAAAGCAACCUUCCGAUGUAAGUUCUGAGUGUGACAGAGAAGGUGGACAAUUGCAGCCUGCCGAAAGGCCUCCUCAGCUCAGGCCUGGGGCCCCCAUCUCUCUACAGACAGAGCGGCAAGGUAAUCCCGAAGGAGAAGGGGACCGCUGCCCCCAAGGCAGCCCACAGGGCCCACUGGCCCCACCGGCCAGUCCCGGCCCUUUUGCUACCAGAUCCCCGCUUUUCAUCUUCGUGAGAAGAUCUUCCCUGCUGUCUCGAUCCUCCAGUGGGUAUUUCUCUUUUGACACAGACAGGAGCCCGGCACCCAUGAGUUGUGACAAAUCAACACAAACCCCAAGUCCUCCUUGCCAGGCCUUCAACCAUUAUCUCAGUGCGAUGGCUUCCAUGAGGCAGUCUCAGGCUGUACCUGCAGAUAUGCGUCCGGAGAUAUGGAUUGCGCAAGAGUUGCGGCGUAUUGGAGACGAAUUUAAUGCAUAUUACCCAAGGAGGGUCUUUCUGAAUAAUCACCAAGCGGCCGAAGGUCCCCCACAAAUGGUUAUCUUACGGCUGUUACGCCACAUCAUCCGUCUGGUGUGGAGGAUGCAGUGACAGCGGGUUCCUCACGGAGCCGGGAUGUGCGGACAUUUUGCUCGUUCAGACCGACAAGCGCAGCACCUCGGUGUCUCGGUGCCCUUGCUGUGCAGCCCGAGGUCCCUCGCUGGAGGGGGCGGGCGGGGAGCCUGCCGGCGUGUCCGAGCUGCACGUGGACCUGACCUUGUGUUUCAUCAUCACCACGCGGCCGAAUUUCUAACAGAAGCUUGUUGUGAAUGUAAAUGAGGGAGGAUUCUCUUUUUAAACAAUGUACAAAUCAUGGUUCUUUGGAGCAGGAUUUUAUGCAAGAAUGGUGUUUACAUGCCGUUUUUUUUUUCCCCCCCACCUUCUUUGAUAAGAACAGGUUUUUCAAAAAGGAAACGGAAACUUUUUAACCAACUCGUGAGUGAUUUUUGUACUAAAAUUUUAAGAACCUUUGCCUACUCUCAGAGGAUUGUGUAAACUCCACGGUGGAAACUGAGCCAGCUGAUUUAUAAAGCUGCCUUAGUUUAUUUUUAGAGGUCACCGUACAGCAUUUUUAAACAGGAGAGGUAUGAUGUGGCUCCUCCCUUCCCUGCCAUUGCUUCUUGGACCUUUUUUUUUUUUUAAGUCAUCAUUAUUAAUACCAAAAAAGUUCUUAUGAAAUGGAACUGGUAAAAGGGGCAGAGGGGUCUCUUGUCAGCCUGUAUUGACGUGCCACUCCCAUUUUGUAAAUAUCUACUUACCUCCUUAAAUUCAGUUGCAUCUGUGGCAAAAUUUCAGACUCUCUUUGUGUUUCUCCUUACGUCCUUUGGUGAUGCUCCUCCAGCCUGUUGGACGCUGAUGCACACAUUUGGUCCAGUGUAUUUUCAUGGUCAAAAGUAUAAGUGGGUCUGAACAUGAGUUAGUAUCUGCCUGUAUCAGACACAGGUCUGUUUGUCUAUUGGUAGCUUACUCACUGGGAGGUGCUCGAUGUUGGUUUUCGUUUGGUUUUGACGGGCUUGUCGUUUAGAAGUGUUCUGAAGAGGCAAUGGCAGUCGUAACACAAGGUAUGCACUGUUGGCUUUUCUGGUUGCAGGCCUUCCCACAUCACAGGACGGACUCUCAGCCUGAGGCCCCAGGUGGUUCACAUGCCCACGUGCAGCUGAGUUCCGUCGAGGUAUCCAAGCUCGAGCCCUUGUGGGAAUCGGCGCAGGCUAUGGGCGGGACUUGAGACAGCUGUUUCCUGGGCAUCCUGGCUUUUGGUCCAACUCAGAGUUCAUCUGGCUUUUGAUGGCUAACACUCGGUUCCCACUCUCUGAAAUACAGACUUAAUUCUGCUCUCAGCAGUUCCAUAAAAAACCCCGUUGGACACAAGUCUGAAAUGGUCCCUUGGCCUUCUGACAGAUGUCUGUAUCACUUGUUCCACUUCCCUUGGGACGGCUGGAUUUCGUCAGGCCCCCUUCACGCAGCCACUUCUGUUGGGGAUGCCCUUCCUCCGCGCCUGCCGCGAUUAUGGCAGAGAAUGGAAGCCCACGAGUUGGUCAGUCUUUUCAAAGGCAGUUAAACUACUGGGGAGACCCAAGAAAGAUUAGGGGGCAUUGAAAGAGGGGAGGUAGAGAUCGUUCUGUGAACCCCAUCACUCAUAGUUUUAGAAACCUCAGAUCAUUAAACAGCUUUUUAAAAAAAGAUACGUGAUUUUUCAGAUGAGUCAACAGUGCCAACAACAGCUGUCGUAUUUGCUUUUGGCCCAUCGAGAACCAGUGUUUUCACGUUAUCAGUUGGAAAAAUUGAUUCCUUUUGUAUCUUCAUAAUUUUAUAUAAGUAUAUAUAUAUAUAUAUGUUGCAUAUACACUUUCUUCUUAGGUAGAGAUAUUUGACUCCAAAUAUUCUUCCUUCUAAAAAUUUUCUUUUCCCCAGAUAUCUUCUUGGGGUCUUGAAUUGUUUUAAAGCUGUGUUGAGUCUCAGCUUGUGUCCUUGACAUGUCUUGAACCCCUCUGCAGGGUCCUCAAGUCCACGCGGUUGUUAAGGUGGUUGGUGGAAUUGCAGCCGUGGGCCUGCUGGACACACACACCAAAGACGUAUUUGGUUCUGGGCCGCUCCCUUCCCAGGAUCUCUAUACGGGCCAGUCUCUCGGACUGGAGCACUUUAUUCUGUUCCUUCAGCCCUGGUGCCCGGGGGCUGAGCGCUCGCUCGCCCACGUGCAAGUUUACCUCGGGCUCGGCGGCCUCCAGGCCCCCGGGCUGGCCGUGGAAGCAGCUGGUGAGGAAACUAGAGAUUCUAUGAAUUGUAGAAGUAUUAAGAGGAUGUUGCCCCAGGACUUAAGAGAGGUGACUGGACGUCUCUGUACUGUACGUAUCUGUUUAUCAAGAUGCCUCCCUGCAGAAAGUAUACCCACUGUGGGUGUACCUUUGACUUCUUAUUUUUCCUUUCUUUGACUUUUUAUAGAGAAAAAAAUAACUCGAUCCCUUUUUGGAAACUGAAUGCGGGUUUUGUGCCUUGACCACCUCGUCUCACGUGAGGUUUGUAGAAAGUGUCCUGUGACUUUUCACAGAAAUGCAAUAAACACACACGAAAUUAACUUCAAGAGUGAAUCUGCAAAUCACCUGGACUCCUGUUUAUGAAGAAUUUUUUUUUUUUCUUGGUUGUGGAGAAACCAGGUGAAAAUUUCUUCCGAGUUAAAAAAACAAAAACAAAAUGUACACAGUAGACGACAGCCGUCUCCUGUUUCCCCUUCUUAAUAUUGUAUAUAUUUUGACUAUUUAUUAGAUUAGGAAGUCAUACUUUACUUAUCAACUGAGCCAAACGUCUGUGUGCAAUUAUUAUGUUUCCUUUACCUUUCUUGUAAGAUUUUGUACAGCAUAAAUGAGUAAAAAAAAAAAAAAAAAAAAAUUCACUGUUUUUACUAAACUUUUUCAGAAUUGAGGGUUGUAAAUAUUGUAGAUUCUUUUUCUGUGUAAUGUGUCCUACUGUUUCAUGAUGCUGUAACUUGUAGAGAUGUUGUAUAUUUAUUUCCAGCUUAUUUAAUGUCUUAAAUUCUGAAAAGUGUUGACCUCCCUGACCCCUAGCCCCUGCUGUCCUGUUAAUUGCUUUAACUCGAGGUGGCCACUGGUUACCUCACUGCAGGCCACGCGGUCUCCCCGGGGUGGCCCUCCAGCUUUGGUUCCUGGUAUUUCUAGUCAAAUGGGUUUAGAUUCGUAGAGUUUGCUGUCCUCAUGAUGAAGUUUGUGUUUAGAUACCAGUGAGAGACCAUAAACCUAGCAGGCUGUCAAAUUCUACUCUAGAACUUUCCAGUGACUUUCUCUUGUUCCCAAAUGGCUAGCUUCUCAUGGAAGCAAAUGCUGUUAACUCCAGGCCGUAUUUUAAAGCCAAAAUAUAUACGUGUGUGUGUGUGUGUGUGUGUAUGGGUGGGGCGGGGGG